AGGACUAAUCUUGCAAUGGGACGCCAGUGACAGGGUUACCGUGGCAACACAGCCGGGACCCGUGACGUCACUUCCGCUGGAAGUAGACAGCCCAGGGGGACGGAGCCGGGCCCGGGACGUGUGAGCAGCGGUGACCAGGAUGGGGGAGACUACAGGGACACCAAGGUCCCAGAGUAUGGAGGAAGAAUGGAGAGGCAAACAAUCCAAUAUGCUUGAAGUCCAGUGUGAAGUUUCCACAGUCUGUGUUGAUUUGAGGAGCCAUGUCAUCUGCAGAGUCAAUGCAUCCGUCUACCAGGACAUUUUAGAGCACUUCAUGCUUCCUUCAGAAGACAAGCUUUAUGGAGAUGCUGACUUCAUUUUCCAGCAGGACUUGGUACCUGCCCACACUGCCAAAAGUACCAAAACCUGGUUCAAUGGAAUUACUGUACUGGAUUUGCCAGCAAACUCGCCUGACCUGAAUCCCAUAGAGAAUCUAUGGGACAUUGCCAAGAGAAAGAUGAGAGACAUGAGACCGAAACAAUGCAGAAGAGUUGAAGGCUGCUAUUGAAGCAUCCUGGUCUUCCAUAACACCUCAGCAGCGCCACAGGCUGAUAGAAUCCAUGCCACGCCGCAUUGAGGCAGUAAUUCAUGCAAAAGGGGCCCAAACCAAGUACUGAGUACAUAUACAUGAUUAUAUUUUUUAGAGGGCUGACAUUUCUGUAUUUAAUAUCCUUUUUUUUAAUUGAUUUUAUGUAAUAUUCUAAUUUUCUGAGAUUUUGGAUUUGGGGUUAUUUUAAACUGUAAGUCACAAUCAUCAAAAUUAUAACAAAUAAAGGCUUGAAAUAUC